rnacentral:rRNA from 1 species
UACGUAUGGCGCAAGCGUUAUCCGGAUUUACUGGGUGUAAAGGGAGCGCAGGCGGCACGGCAAGCCUGAUGUGAAAGCCCGCGGCCCAACCGCGGGACUGCAUUGGGAACUACCGGGCUGGAGUGCCGGAGAGGUAGGCGGAAUUCCUAGUGUAGCGGUGAAAUGCGUAGAUAUUAGGAGGAACACCAGUGGCGAAGGCGGCCUACUGGACGGUGACUGACGCUGAGGCUCGAAAGCGUGGGGAGCAAACAGG